GGUGCUUAGUUUAACACAAAGCAAAUGACUUCGACUCAUUAGAUUAUGAACAACUCAUAAGCACCAA
rnacentral:tRNA from 1 species